UUGCUUCCAGAACAGAUAUACUAAAAUUGAAAUGAUACAAAGAAGAGUAGCAUGGACCCUGUGCAAGGAUGACACACAAAUUCAUGAAGCAUUCCAUAUCAAA
ensembl:snRNA U6 U6 spliceosomal RNA